rnacentral:rRNA from 1 species
AACAAAACGCUGGCGGCGUGUCUUAAGCAUGCAAGUUGAGCGGCAAGGAGGAGAGAUCCUCCCUAGAGCGGCGGACUGGUGAGUAACGCGUGGGUAAUCUAUCGUAGGCAUGGGGAUAGUCACUAGAAAUAGUGGGUAAUACCGAAUACGUUCCAUGAGGGGAGUAUUCAUGGAAGAAAGGGUGCUACGGCACUGGCCUUAGGUGAGCUCGCGUCCCAUUAGCUAGUUGGUGAGGUAAAGGCCCACCAAGGCGAUGAUGGGUAGCCGGCCUGAGAGGGUGUACGGCCACACUGGGACUGAGAUACGGCCCAGACUCCUACGGGAGGCAGCAGCUAAGAAUAUUCCGCAAUGGACGAAAGUCUGACGGAGCGACGCCGCGUGGAUGAAGAAGGCCGAAAGGUUGUAAAGUUCUUUUGCUAGGGGAGAAUAAGGUGAGGGAGGGAAUGCCCUAUGAUGACAAGGACUAAGCGAAUAAGCCCCGGGCCAACUACGUGCCAGCAGCCG